rnacentral:lncRNA from 1 species
UUAAUUUUACUCUUGCCUUCACUUCCCCUGUUAGGUACACAUUUCUUGAAGCCAGGGAGUCCCUCUUACCCAUUAGAACCCUGGAAUCAAGCACAGUGUCUGGUACAAGAGAUAUUUUGCUAAACACUGAAUGUGAACUUAAACUCAACCUAAUAUACAUCUUUAUCUUGAUGUCUUUUCCUCCAAAGCUAGAGGUAGACUAUACAGUAGGUAAAGCAACAGGCAGGAGACUGUAUCUCUGAACGCACGUGUGGAAUGCAUGAGAGAAAAGCCAGAGUUACCUCCCGAGUCACAGCACUGUAAUAGAUGAGUCCACGCCCGCUCCAGUGAAGGGAGACAGGAAAACGCUGUGUCCUUUGCGUCACUGAGGUCCUCUGAAAUGCCAUCUGCUGCCUCCCUGGGCAGGUUCUGGGGCUUCUCCACCAGUGCACGGAGCGGUUUCCACAGCACGGCUUUUCCGAGGGAUAACAUCAGGCAAAUCAUGAGAGCAUCACUGAGCUCACACAUUCCUCAAGACCUUUAAUGCUCACUUUAGGCACCUCAGACUUGCUCCCUUUUGAGGGUGCAUCUUCUCUAUUACCAUAAAGACCACUUGCUCCUGAAUAGUUUCUAUGUCUUUUAUUAAGAAGUCACCAGCUCUUCAUAGCCAGGGUCCUGGUGUGUCUUUGAGAAUAUGCUCAGUUUAUUCUUGCAACUCUGAGGCUGAAACAGCACACUCUAGAAGGAAGGAAAUACGUCAGGUUACUGAUUUCUCUCAGAACGUGCUGGUUCCUUGGAAGUCUCCACCAGGGGAUCACCAUUCUUUUACACCAAAGGAUUGGCCGUAAAAAUUAAAUGUACACGGGGUAACUUCAUUAUGGGUUAAUUCCAGCAGACUUGAAAUCAUCACAAGGUGCUUUGCUGUGGUUCCUGCAUGGUGCUGACCCUUCCUCAAGGCAGGAGCGCCCAGAUCAAUCGCGUUGUCUUGUGGUUAAGCAUGGGUAGAGUUACUAAUCGAUUUGUCCCAGCUCAAAGCACUAUGCCUCGAUCACAACUGGGGCAGUGUUUUGCAUGUGGUCUCUGUGAGACACACAGAAUAGCCUUCUGUGGAGGCUGACUGUACAACAAGGAAUCUGCCUGCACAACAGAUCAGCAGUCAGAGGCCCUACCUAACGCACCAUUUAGGGAAUUUCUGGUUCUGAGGAACUCUAUUUUCGUUCUAUCACAAACAGAACAUGCACCACAGAGAGGAAGCCAAGGCCACUGGAACUCAGGCCUGAUCCCUCAGGACUCAUCAGAGGAGGCGUCUUCAGGGAAGAGGCCUGUCUCAGCUCUCAUGCUGUUGCUAUGUCAUCUCCUAUUUCUGUGACAAACUGUGGAUUUGUGAAUAAUUUUAUGGGGUCCUGUGGGCAAACACAUCAGGAACCCUCACUGUCACUGGUACAGCAUUUGGCAUCUGGAUGAAAUUGCAGGCAUUCCUGCAUUGUGCUGACCCUUCCUCAAGGCAGAGGAACACCUUUAAGAAAAAUAUUACCAGCAACGUUCUCGUGAAUUUAAAAGAUGUUUCAGGCAAGGAGAAAGAAGCAAACUGAUAGAUCUAGAGUCAGAGCUGAUCGUGUGUCUAAGCGCAAGGACUUUGGAAUGGCUUCCUGAUGAUGAAUAAUCCCGGGAUUUAGUAAAAUGGGUGAGCCGGGAACUGCGGCAAAAGGAAACACUGGGGCAAAUUAGCUAAAAAUUCGCCCUCUGCACUUCUGCUUAGCAAAAGAGAAAGUGCUGGCCAGCAGGGGGAGCUCCAUCCCCAGCCUCCUUUGCAACCAUAAUAAACUAUCUAAAUAAACUCUAUACCUGUGAGAUGGGUCCUUAGAACUUGUCCCAAUCGAUUAAAGGACAGGGGAGCCCUGGGAGUCAGAGAAGGGAAACGCCCUGCUCCCCCCUCUGUGAGGGAGACGGACAGACCUUCCUGCAGCCACAGACACGCGACAAGUGCUG